ACUCAAAUGAAUAGACGGGGGCCCGCACAAGCGGAGGAACAUGUGGUUUAAUUCGAUGAUACGCGAGGAACCUUACCUGGGCUUAAAUGUGGAGUGACAGGCUGUGAAAGCAGCCCUUCUUCGGACACUCUACAAGGUGCUGCAUGGUUGUCGUCAGCUCGUGCCGUGAGGUGUCGGGUUAAGUCCCAUAACGAGCGCAACCCUUAUCGUUAGUUGCCAGCGGGUCAUGCCGGGGACUCUAGCGAGACUGCCACCGUAAGGUGUGAGGAAGGUGGGGAUGACGUCAAAUCAGCACGGCCCUUAUGUCCAGGGCUACACACGUGUUACAAUGGCCGAUACAAAGGGCAGCUACCUCGUGAGAGGAUGCUAAUCUCCAAAGUCGGUCUCAGUUCGGAUCGAAGUCUGCAACCCGACUUCGUGAAGCUGGAUUCGCUAGUAAUCGCAUAUCAGCCAUGAUGCGGUGAAUACGUUCCCGGGCCUUGUACACACCGCCCGU
rnacentral:rRNA from 1 species